ensembl:lncRNA
UCUCUGAAGAGUAUGGUUUACAUAUUAGGGCAGUCUCUGAAGAGUAUGGUUUACAUAUUAGGACAGUCUGAAGAGUAUGGUUUACAUAUUAGGGCAGUCUCUGAAGAGUACGUGCUCAUAUUAGGACAGUCUCUGAAGAGUAUGGAUUACAUAUUAGGACAGUCUCUGAAGAGUAUGGAUUACAUAUUAGGACAGUCUCUGAAGAGUAUGGAUUACAUAUUAGGACAGUCUCUGAAGAGUAUGGAUUACAUAUUAGGACAGUCUCUGAAGAGUAUGGUUUACAUAUUAGGACAGUCUCUGAAGAGUAUGGAUUGCAUAUUAGGACAGUCUCUGAAGAGUAUGGUUUACAUAUUAGGACAGUCUGAAGAGUAUGGUUUACAUAUUAGGACAGUCUCUGAAGAGUAUGGAUUACAUAUUAGGACAGUCUCUGAAGAGUAUGGAUUACAUUAUAGGACAGUCUCUGAAGAGUAUGGAUUACAUAUUAGGACAGUCUCUGAAGAGUACGUGACCAUUUUAGGACAGUAUCAGCAGGAGUUGUAAAAUAGGGUAUUUUUGAAAUGCAGGUAAUAAAGAGGUGGAUGGAAUUAGAGAAGACUGAGAAAAAGACUCAAAGGACAGACUGUGGUGUAAAGAAGCAUGUGCCAGAGAGUGUGACAUUAAAUAUGAACUGCCAUGCUUACCAGCAUAAGUUAGAGUUCAAAUCUCUGAGGUCCUGUGGGAGUGUUGGAGAGAAACAUGAUAUACUGUAUAUGUAUAUACUGUAUAUAUAUAUACAUGUGUGUAUACUAUAUAUGCCUUAGUGAUGACUUGUCUGGUUUUGUUUAUUGUUCAAUACCUCUGUUCUGCUAUUUUUCCUUAUAUAGAAAUAUCACAAAGGAAUAAAUAAAGGAUGCAAAUGAAGAUAUCUACCUCAUCAUAAAUGAGGUAGAAUGCAGUUAAAUGGUUCUUUACCUACAUGAAGAGAACGAUGGAUGUAUUUCUCUCAGAGGGCAGAGGUCACCUGACAGGAGAAAGAGAGAGGGGAUGGCCAGAGGAGAUAGAUGGCAGCAGGUAAAAUUACAGAAAAGGAGGGAUGAGAUAAAAACGAAGUGUGCCCAAGGAGGAAAGAUUUUCUCAGACAUGAUGGAUAGUGCAAUCGGCGGGCAGGAAGUGAGAAAGUGAUUUUGUGCAUGUGUACACAGUGCAAUUCGGAAAGGAUUCAGACCCCUGGACUUUUUCCACAUUUUGUUACGUUGCAGCCUUGUUCAAUCAUUUUUUUCUUCAUCAAUUUACACACAAUACCCCAUAAUGACAAAGCAACAAACAAAAAAACAUACACAUUUUUCAAAUGUAAAACAAAUACACAACACAAUAUCACAUUUACAUAAGUAUUCAGACCCUUUGCUCAGUACUUUGUUGAAGCACCUUUGACAGUGAUUACAGCCUCGAGUCUUCUUGGGUAUGAUGCUACAAGCUUGGCACACCUGUAUUUGGGGAGUUUCUCCCAUUAUUCUCUGCAGAUCAUCUCACACUCUGUCAGGUUGGAUGGGGAGCGUUGCUGCACAGCUAUUUUCAGGUCUCUCCAGAGAUGUUCGAUCUGGUUCAUGUCUGGGCUCUGACUGGGGCACUCAAGGAAAGAGACUUGUCCCGAAGCCACUCCUGGGUUGUCUUGGCUGUGUGCUUAGGGUCAUUGUCCUGUUGGAAGGUAAACCUUUGCCUCAGUGUGAGGUCCUGAGUAAUCUAGAGCAGGUUUUCAUAAAGGAUCGCUGACUAUCCUGACUAGUCAGUCCCUGCCACUGAAAAACAUCCCCACAGCAUGAUUCUGCCACCACCAUGCUUCACCGUAGAGAUGGUGCCAGGUUUCCUCCAGACGUGAUGCUUGGUAUUCAGGCCAAAGAGUUCAAUCUUGGUUUCAUCAGACCAGAGAAUCUUAUUUCUCAUGGUCUGAGUGUCUUUUUGACAAACUCCAAGCGGGCUGUCAUGUGCCUUUUACUGAGGAGUGGCGUCCGUCUGGCCACUCUACCAUAAAGGCCUGAUUGAUGGAGUGCUGCAGAGAUGGCUGUCCUUUUGGAAGGUUCUCCCAUCUCCAUAGAGGAACUCUGGAGCUCUGUCAGAGUGACCAUCGUGUUAUUGGUCACCUCCCUGACUAAGGCCAUUCUUCCCCAAUUGCUCAGUUUGGCCCGGGCGGCCAGCUCUCGGAAGAGUCUUGGUUCCAAACUUCUUCCAUUUUAGAAUGAUGGAGGCCACUGUGUUCUUGGGGACUUUCAAUUCUGCAGAAAUGUUUUGGUACCCUUCCCCAGAUCGGUGCCUUGACACAAUCCUCUCUGAGCUCUACGGACUGUUAUUUUGGACCUCAUGGCUUGGUUUUUGUUCUGAUAUGCAUUGUCAACUGUGGGACCUUAUAUAGACAGGUGUGUGCCUUUCCAAAUCAUGUCCAAUCAAUUGAAUUUAACACGUGGACUGCAAUGAAGUUGUAGAAACAUCUCAAGGAUGAUCAAUGGAAACAGGAUGCACCUGAGCUUAAUUUCGAGUCUCAUAGAAAGGGUCUGAAUACUUAUGUAAAUAAGGUAUUUCUGGGUUUUUUUCCCCACAAAUUUGCAAAAAUGUCUAAAAACCUGUUUUCGUUUUGUCAUUUUGUUGUUAUUGUGUGUAAAAUGAUGUGUUUUUUUGUUAUUUAAUCAUUUUUAGAAUAAGGCUCUAAAAAAUGUAGAAAACUAGAAGGGGUCUGAAUACUUUCCGAAUGCACUGUAUGUGUGUGUGUAUGUGUGUGUGUAUGGAACCAGAAUUCUAUGCUUCCAGUUGGCCUGUCAUCUGUUCAAGUAUGUUUGCUCUACUUCCUCAAUCAACAGUCAAAAGUAUAAGGGAAUGACAUGCAGAAACACACACGGAAGCACGCAGUGCACACACACACACUUUCCAUCUGUAUUCUGUAAUAUGAGAAGGCAUUGGUGAAUGUAGAGGAGACAGGGCUGGUUGGCUGGUCUCAUCUCCCUGGCUAUGCCUGCUCUCCUCUCCAUCGUGCCAAAGCUGCUAGAGAAAACAAACAGCUAAACCAGGUCAGCCAACAGCCUUUCAUCCACUUCCCCUGAUAGCAUGGCCUAGACAUGGCAUCAAUCUCACUGUAAUAAGGCUGCUGUGAAUGUAAUUACAGUGCCCAGGCAUACUGUAGAUAAUCAACUGCUAUGAGCACAUCCAGAAGCGCUGAUGUGGUUUUAUGCAGCAUAAUCUGCCAGUAUCACAAUGUCUCUCAGUGCUCUGUCUUUCUCUGGGCUGGACCAGAUGUCAACCUUCUGAUAUUUACGCUACCAACUGAGUCAGACAAGCUGCCAAUAACUCCAACGAACCGUUUGAUUUGCAUAAGCAAAUAAUUGGCAAUUAUGUUAAUGUCAUCCAAACAAGCUUAUGAUUUAAUUGAAUGUGUCAGUCAGUAGUUUAUUUAUUCGAUUUGGAAUGGGAUGGAGAUGCCUUCUCUCAGGUGGAAAUCAUUUUGUCUGUGAUGUACUUUAUGAUGAAUACUAAUGCUGGGGUAACCUACUCAUCAACGAUAGAUAGGCCUGCCAUAGCCUCAGCUGACCUGACCAUGUGGAACUGCGGAUCAGGCUUUGGUUCUUAGAGAGGUUAGCAGAGUACAAUCCUACUGGACUACUGAGCCACAAUUAGGACAAGAAAGUUGAACCCAAGACAUGGAAAAAGAGCAGAAUAAAAGAAAGAGAUCAAAGAGAGGAUAACUGGAAGUGAAAGAGGGAGAGAGCGACCAAUCGUAGAGAUAGAUAGAGGACUCUACUGCCCAAAAGCCCAUUUUAGUAUGGGCAGUGCCAUUUAGGACUGUAACUAUUUUGAAGUAGUCAAUUGGGUGGGACUUCCUAUGGCUUCCAUCCAGGUUAUCAGGAGGGAUCAGUCUAUGAAUUAUACUUGUGAACAAACAUUCCAUAACUGCAGGUGGUAGUAAAUUGCCAACCUCUAACUAUCUCAAUGGGACAGACUGAAAUCGAGACAGGUGGAGAAAGAGGGAGAGAGGAACAGGUGGAAAGAAAGAUAGGGAAUAGAGAAAUGCUUAAAGGGGUUAAAGGUAUUUUAUAGAUAAAGGAGUGUGUGGUGUGCCCGCUGUUCACAUGCCCCAUUCAGCCGUGUCGUGAUGUGGUGCCAGAAUGUGAUUCCCACAUUGGGACAGACAGGUUAAUUUAUUUAUGACUCAUGGACAGCCACCUCAUUAGAAGGCUAAGCACUGCCACUGACCAGGCCAAUCCCACCCCAGCCCCAUGUCCUUCUUCUGGGUGAGUCAUCCCCCUACGCCCCCUCUACACCCUCCACCCAGCAAUCCUCUCCCUCUCUCCUUUAAUCCCUCAUGCUUUUACGCAGAAUGCCAAGGUGGUGGGCAGAUAAUUGUAAAUCUGGGUGGGUUAACAGGA